GCUACGGGCGGCUGCAGUAAGGAAUAUUGGUCAAUGGCCGAGAGGCUGAACCAGCCAAGUCGCGUGAGGGAAGAAUGUCCUAUGGAUUGUAAACCUCUUUUGUCAGGGAGCAAAGUCACCCACGUGUGGGUGUUGGAAAGUACCUGAAGAAAAAGCAUCGGCUAACUCCGUGCCAGCAGCCGCGGUAAUACGGGGGAUGCGAGCGUUAUCCGGAUUUAUUGGGGUUAAAGGGUGCGUAUGCGGGUUAUCAAGUCAGCGGUACAAUCGUGGAGGUCAACUCCAUCCAGCCGUUGAAACGGAUGAUCUUGAGUGAGCGAGAAGUAUGCGGGAGGCGUGGUGUAGUGGUGAAA
rnacentral:rRNA from 1 species